rnacentral:rRNA from 1 species
AGUGAACGCUGGCGGUAGGCCUAACACAUGCAAGUCGAACGGCAGCACAGUAAGAGCUUGCUCUUACGGGUGGCGAGUGGCGGACGGGUGAGGAAUACAUCGGAAUCUACUUUUUCGUGGGGGAUAACGUAGGGAAACUUACGCUAAUACCGCAUACGACCUACGGGUGAAAGCAGGGGAUCUUCGGACCUUGCGCGAUUGAAUGAGCCGAUGUCGGAUUAGCUAGUUGGCGGGGUAAAGGCCCACCAAGGCGACGAUCCGUAGCUGGUCUGAGAGGAUGAUCAGCCACACUGGAACUGAGACACGGUCCAGACUCCUACGGGAGGCAGCAGUGGGGAAUAGUGGACAAUGGGGACAAACCUGAUCCAGCCAUACCGCGUGGGUGAAGAAGGCCUUCGGGUUGUAAAGCCCUUUUGUUGGGAAAGAAAAGCAGCAGGUUAAUACCCCGCUGUUCUGACGGUACCCAAAGAAUAAGCACCGGCUAACUUCGUG